rnacentral:rRNA from 1 species
UACGGGGGGGGCAAGCGUUGUUCGGAAUUACUGGCGUAAAGGGCUCGUAGGCGGUUUGUCGCGUCGGGAGUGAAAACACCGGGCUUAACUCGGUGCUUGCUUUCGAUACGGGCAGACUAGAGGUAUGCAGGGAGAACGGAAUUCCUGGUGUAGCGGUGAAAUGCGCAGAUAUCAGGAGGAACACCGGUGGCGAAGGCGGGUCUCUGGGCAACUACUGACGCUGAGGAGCGAAAGCGUGGGAGCGAACAGG